AACGAACGCUGGCGGCAGGCUUAACACAUGCAAGUCGAACGCUCGUAGCAAUACGGGAGUGGCGGACGGGUGAGUAACGCGUGGGAACGUGCCCUGAGGUACGGAAUAACUGAGGGAAACUUCAGCUAAUACCGUAUGAGCCCCGAGAGGGGGAAAGAUUUAUCGCCUUGGGAGCGGCCCGCGUCGGAUUAGCUAGUUGGUGGGGUAACGGCCUACCAAGGCUUCGAUCCGUAGCUGGUCUGAGAGGACGAUCAGCCACACUGGGACUGAGACACGGCCCAGACUCCUACGGGAGGCAGCAGUGGGGAAUCUUGCGCAAUGGGGGCAACCCUGACGCAGCAUGCCGCGUGAACGAUGAAGGCCUUAGGGUUGUAAAGUUCUUUACCCGUGACGAUGAUGACGGUAACGGGGGAAUAAGCUCCGGCUAACUUCGUGCCAGCAGCCGCGGUAAUGUCUGUACU
rnacentral:rRNA from 1 species